AAUGGACGAAAGUCUGACGCAGCCAUGCCGCGUGAAUGAUGAAGGUCUUAGGAUUGUAAAGUUCUUUAGCCUGUGACGAUGAUGACGGUAACAGGAGAAUAAGCCCCGGCUAACUUCGUGCCAGCAGCCGCGGUAAUACGAAGGGGGCUAGCGUUGUUCGGAAUUACUGGGCGUAAAGCGCGCGUAGGCGGUUUUACAAGCCAGAGGUGAAAUGCCUGAGCUCAACUUAGGAAUUGCCUUUGGAACUGUAUGGCUUUGAGGACGAGAGAGGUGAGUGGAAUUCCCAGUGUAGAGGUGAAAUUCGUAGAUAUUGGGAAGAACACCGGUGGCGAAGGCGGCUCACUGGCUCGUUUCUGACGCUGUAGCGCGAAAGCGUGGGGAUCAAA
rnacentral:rRNA from 1 species